UAAUCGUAGAUCAGCAUGCUACGGUGAAUACGUUCCCGGGCCUUGUACACACCGCCCGUCACACCAUGAGAGUCGGGAACACCCGAAGUCCGUAGCCUAACAGCAAUGGGGGCGCGGCCGAAGGUGGGUUCGAUAAUUGGGGUGAAGUCGUAACAAGGUACC
rnacentral:rRNA from 1 species